AUGACUGGGGUGAAGUCGUAACAAGGUAGCCCUAGGGGAACCUGGGGCUGGAUCACCUCCUUAUACGA
rnacentral:rRNA from 1 species